rnacentral:rRNA from 1 species
UACAACGAAACUGCGAAUGGCUCGGUAAAACAGCAAUAAUUUCUUCGGGGAUAAUACUACUCGGAUAACCGUAGUAAAGCUAGAGCUAAUACGUUCCAUCAAGCGCGAGAUUUCACGCUCGUGGUACUAAGUAUUAGGUACAAGCCAGUUUUUCUGGUGAUUCAUACUUAUCUUCUGAUCGCACCUCGUGUGCGACGCCCCGAUUAAAUUUCUGACCUAUCAACUAUGAUGGAAAGGUAGGGUCUUUCCAUGGUUGUGACGGGUAACGGACCGUGGGUGCGGGAUUCCGGAGAGGGAGCCUGAGAAACGGCUACCACAUCCAAGGAAGGCAGCAGGCGCGCAACUUACCCAAUCCGAACUUCGGGAGGUAGUGACAAAAAAUAUCAAUAGGGGGACCAAUGGUCUUCCUAAUUGGAAUGAAAACAAUGUAAACACCUUAUUGAGGAACCAGCAGAGGGCAAGUCUGGUGCCAGCAGCCGCGGUAAUUCCAGCUCUGUAAGCGUAUACCAAAGUUGUUGCAGUUAAAACGCUCGUAGUCGGAUUUUGGCGUGUGCUUCUGAGACGCCCUGAUGGGCGUCGAAGGUUUUUAGCUCCGCCUUUGUGGAGGGGGGUGUGGUGGUGCUUUAUUGUAUUGCCGCAUUUCCGCCACUGUUUACUGUGAAAAAAUUAGAGUGUUCAAAGCAGGCGAUUGCCAUGAAUAGAUUAGCAUGGAAUAAUAGAAUAGGACCUGGUUCUGUUUUAUUGGUUUGUCGGUAUCAGGUAAUGAUUAAGAGGGACGGUCGGGGGCAUUUGUAUUCCAGGGUUAGAGGUGAAAUUCUUAGAUCCUUGGAAGACAAACAGCUGCGAAAGCGUCUGCCAAGGACGUUUUCAUUGAUCAAGAACGAAAGUAAGGGGAUCGAAGACGAUCAGAUACCGUCGUAGUCUUUACUAUAAACGAUGAGGACUAGGGAUUGGACGUGGCCUUUUUGGUACGUUCAGCACCUUCCGGGAAACCAAAGUGUUUGCUUUCUGGGGGGAGUAUGGUCGCAAGUCUGAAACUUAAAGGAAUUGACGGAAGGGCAUCACCGGGUGUGGAGCCUGCGGCUUAAUUUGACUCAACACGGGAAAACUUACCAGGUCCAGACAUAGUGAGGAUUGACAGAUUGAGAGCUCUUUCUUGAUUCUAUGGUUGGUG